GCUGGGUGUGGUGGUGCAUACCUGUAAUCCCAGUAGCUUGGGAGGCUGAGGCAGGAGGAUCUCGAGUUUAAAGCCAACUUUAGCAAAAGCAAGGCACACUAAGCAACUCAGUGAGGCCCUGUAUCUA
rnacentral:sRNA from 1 species